CUGAAUGCCACAAAGAGUGUCAGAGGAACAGGAAGUCUGCAGGAGAAUCGCAUAGCUACUUAAGAACCACACACCAACAAAUGCUGCUCACCACCCUGAGUAGCCUGGGGGCUCUGGCUGCAUGCAGUCAUGGAGAAUGAAGACCAAGAUUUCCACUCUCAGCUGUGAUGGGCAUGUCAAGAUUUUAAAGAAGUACUCGAGGUUGGGAAUCAAAUGCCUUGUUUGAAAACCCGAACACUCGUGAGCAGCUAUUGACUAG